rnacentral:rRNA from 1 species
GACAGAGGAGGCAAGCGUUGUUCGGAAUCAUUGGGCUUAAAGCGCGCGUAGGCGGCCUUGUAAGUGUCUCGUGAAAUCCCACGGCUCACCCGUGGAACUGCAGGGCAAACUGCAAGACUUGAGGUCGGUAGAGGCGCCUGGAACUCUAGGUGGAGCGGUGAAAUGCGUAGAGAUCUAGGGGAACGCCGGAGGCGAAAGCGGGGCGCUGGGCCGAUGCUGACGCUGAUGCGCGAAAGAGUGGGGAGCAAACAGG